UUUAUGGAGAGUUUGAUCCUGGCUCAGAGUGAACGCUGGCGGCGUGCCUAAUACAUGCAAGUCGAACGAUGAAGCUUCUAGCUUGCUAGAAGUGGAUUAGUGGCGCACGGGUGAGUAAGGUAUAGUUAAUCUGCCCUACACAAGAGGACAACAGUUGGAAACGACUGCUAAUACUCUAUACUCCUGCUUAACACAAGUUGAGUAGGGAAAGUUUUUCGGUGUAGGAUGAGACUAUAUAGUAUCAGCUAGUUGGUAAGGUAAUGGCUUACCAAGGCUAUGACGCUUAACUGGUCUGAGAGGAUGAUCAGUCACACUGGAACUGAGACACGGUCCAGACUCCUACGGGAGGCAGCAGUAGGGAAUAUUGCGCAAUGGGGGAAACCCUGACGCAGCAACGCCGCGUGGAGGAUGACACUUUUCGGAGCGUAAACUCCUUUUCUUAGGGAAGAAUUCUGACGGUACCUAAGGAAUAAGCACCGGCUAACUCCGUGCCAGCAGCCGCGGUAAUACGGAGGGUGCAA
rnacentral:rRNA from 2 species